CCUAGGGAGUCUGCAGUGGGGAAUAUUGGACAAUGGGCGAAAGCCUGAUCCAGCCAUGCCGCGUGUGUGAAGAAGGCCUUCGGGUUGUAAAGCACUUUCAGUGGGGAAGAAAGCCUUGGGGCUAAUACCCUCGAGGAAGGACAUCACCCACAGAAGAAGCACCGGCUAACUCCGUGCCAGCAGCCGCGGUAAUACGGAGGGUGCGAGCGUUAAUCGGAAUUACUGGGCGUAAAGCGCGCGUAGGCGGUCUGAUAAGCCGGUUGUGAAAGCCCCGGGCUCAACCUGGGAACGGCAUCCGGAACUGUCAGGCUAGAGUGCAGGAGAGGAAGGUAGAAUUCCCGGUGUAGCGGUGAAAUGCGUAGAGAUCGGGAGGAAUACCAGUGGCGAAGGCGGCCUUCUGGACUGACACUGACGCUGAGGUGCGAAAGCGUGGGUAGCAAACAGGAUUAGAUACCCUAGUAGUC
rnacentral:rRNA from 1 species